AGUCGAACGCCCCGCAAGGGGAGUGGCAGACGGGUGAGUAACGCGUGGGAAUCUACCGUGCCCUGCGGAAUAGCUCCGGGAAACUGGAAUUAAUACCGCAUACGCCCUACGGGGGAAAGAUUUAUCGGGGUAUGAUGAGCCCGCGUUGGAUUAGCUAGUUGGUGGGGUAAAGGCCUACCAAGGCGACGAUCCAUAGCUGGUCUGAGAGGAUGAUCAGCCACAUUGGGACUGAGACACGGCCCAAACUCCUACGGGAGGCAGCAGUGGGGAAUAUUGGACAAUGGGCGCAAGCCUGAUCCAGCCAUGCCGCGUGAGUGAUGAAGGCCUUAGGGUUGUAAAGCUCUUUCACCGGUGAAGAUAAUGACGGUAACCGGAGAAGAAGCCCCGGCUAACUUCGUGCCAGCAGCCGCGGUAAUACGAAGGGGGCUAGCGUUGUUCGGAAUUACUGGGCGUAAAGCGCACGUAGGCGGAUAUUUAAGUCAGGGGUGAAAUCCCAGAGCUCAACUCUGGAACUGCCUUUGAUACUGGGUAUCUUGAGUAUGGAAGAGGUAAGUGGAAUUGCGAGUGUA
rnacentral:rRNA from 1 species